CUCACCUCGAAAUCACGAGCGGCACGAGCAAAGGUGACGUUUCAUUCCAAAGAUGGCCAAUGGUGGUGGUGAGCCUCAACGGCGAGAUUCAACAGAGAUCUAGGUUCCAUGGCAACGGGCAAGCAGUAGCCGACGACAUCUUCCCCACAGCGAGCACGACGGAGCGAACCAAACCCACGAAUUGGGUCAUUUCUGUAGCAGGAUCGGCGGCAAUCGUCCUUCUGGCGAGCAAAUCCCACGUCAUGCGAAGCUGGCGGCAUUUGGCGUGUUGUAGCAGUGCUGACAUCGUUCUUCCCUGUUGUUUCUCGCGACCCUCACCAUCUGGCGACAACCCACAACUCACGGUACGUUCCCAUCAUUUUCGGACAGCAGCAGCGACAACAUCUCAGAUUCGUGAAGCCGGUGAGUCUUGACGUUUUACCAUCGUUCCGGUGACAUUAGGCGGUGACCCACACCUCGUAUGAAGCCGAUUUGCAAUACCCACCCUGUUCGGCAUUGUUUCGGUGUUGACCCACUCCUUUUUGGACUCAAAUCAGCAUACCCAUUCCUUUUCGGCGUAGGAGCAGCAAGCUUGAGGCUUUUCAAACUCAGUUUUGAAGUGUCGAGCUCUUUCGACAUCAACCCACUAUCAACCCAAGUGGUCUUAGCUUUUGUAGGUAUCGAGCUAACUCUUGGGAUGGUGAUGGUGAGGAGGAGACUUGACACUAAAGAGACCAUUUAGCGCCGUAUUAUUAAGUUUCAAUUUGGAUAGGAUAGUUAUAGUUGUUUAUUUGUAACUUGAGUCUGUUAAUAGAUUUAUAAAUUUGGUUGUUAAGUUCCAUUUUUAGAGGAUGUUUUAGGGCUGACAAUUCACUAUUCUUUGAGAACAUUAAGUGUUGUUUAUCUGCUUGAACUUCGAUGAUGUGAUCUAUUGGGGAUAUUUAUCAGGAUAAUAUAUUUGUUCAAGCUGAAUUUGAGUCAGCCUUUGUUUUGUUGCUAUUCGAGAAAGUUAGCUUUGUGUAA